rnacentral:rRNA from 1 species
AUUGAACGCUGGCGGCGUGCUUAACACAUGCAAGUCGAUCGGUAACAGGUGUAGCAAUACAUGCUGACGAGAGGCGGACGGGUGAGGAAUAUUUGGGAAUCUGCCCAUCAGCGGGGGACAACCCGGGGAAACCCGGGCUAAUACCGCAUACGCUCUACGGAGGAAAGCCGGGGACCGCAAGGCCUGGCACUGAUGGAUGAGCCCAAAUCGGAUUAGCUAGUUGGCGGGGUAACGGCCCACCAAGGCGACGAUCCGUAGCCGGUCUGAGAGGACGACCAGCCACACUGGGACUGAGACACGGCCCAGACUCCUACGGGAGGCAGCAGUGGGGAAUUUUGGACAAUGGACGCAAGUCUGAUCCAGCCAUGCCGCGUGCGGGAAGAAGGCCUUCGGGUUGUAAACCGCUUUUGUCAGGGAAGAAAUCUUCUGGGUUAAUACCUCGGGAGGAUGACGGUACCUGAAGAAUAAGCACCGGCUAACUACGUGCCAGCAGCCGCGGUAACAC